AGGGUGGAGCAGGCUCAAGGUCGGCUGCGGAGAUCCUGGCCUCAGCUUCCCAGCAGAGGGCUCUUCUGCAGAAAGUGAUCCCAGGAUAGGGGGCUGCCAAGGGAGUCAGGGAUUUGCACCCCAAACUUCAGGUGGUAUCUGAGCUCUGUGUGUCCUUCCUACCCACCUCUCAGGCGCUACUUACAUCUGAUAAACUCAAGUGGUGGACAGAACAGAGAGGGCCUCCUCCAAGGUGACUUGCUAAGUCCUCCCCUAAGGACGAAACAGAGAAGCUUCCUGCCCCUGUUACACAUGGCCUCCUCCCGAUCGGAGCCCCUCCAGGGUUGCCUCCUUUCUAUUCUGUAUCCUGAGGGCCCAGCAGCUCACCUGGACCAUGGAAAGCACAGAAAGAACUGGCUGAAUGAAUCAGGAGAUCAAGUGCUCUCCCUGAGGCCCUGUAACAGCUCUGCAUCUGACUGCCCAGAAGGAAGCAGAAGUGAGUGACAAGUUGGGGGAACCAGAGCUUGCACACCAUAGGCCUGAGCACUAGCCUCUGGGGAAAGGCAAGUCCAGCUGACCUUGGUGAAGUUAGGACCCGGGCCGAGGCCACCUCUUCUGGUUCACCCUCUGCUGGCCUCCCAGCUUCUUUGGCUCAGCAACACCCAGGAUUCCAGGCAUGUUUGCCUCUGGCCUUCUAAAAAUACCCAGGCCACCCAGCACCUCCCAGAUGUCUGAGCGCUGAGUCUGUGAUUUCCCUGCCGGUAAUGGGACAGCCCUGGGGUGGGCAGGCGGGGGUGGCUCAAGCAGCUCAAGCCACUCCCUCUGCCUCCCAUCCCCUAGCCUACCAGAAGCUGGACCCAGCCCUGCCUCCCAAUCCUUGCAAGGCAAAGGAGGGUAGAGGCUUGACCAUCUGAACUAGCAGACCUCAGAGAUUGUUGACUCCAGUCUCUUCUUGGGACAGAUGGGAGAUCUGAAGUCUAAGGAUUGCUCAUGGCACUUGUGCCAUUAAGGUCCUCCUCACCCCACUCCCCAGCACUGUGUUCAUGCCUGCUGCUGUCUCACUUCCCACAUGCUACUUGGAGUCUAGGUCUUAGAGCCCAACCUGACUUCCUCCAUGCAGCUGAAAGCUCCUGACAGCAGUGAAGGGGAGGAUCCCUGUGGUCUCCAUGGUGCCUGGAAGAGUGUCCAAUCCAGAGCACACCAUCAGUAAACAUAGAUUGGAUUGAACAAUGUAGUGGCAGCUGGGGCAAUGGGUGGAGCACUGGGCUGGAGGACAAAGCCUCUGAAAUCUAUCUAGCCCAGGGUCAGCCACUGUGAUACUAUGCAUCCUCAUCAAUUGCCCUGGAUAAACCUGUUUCCCCUGGGCUGGAUAGGAUGGUGUCUAAGGACUGAGCCAGCUCUGCUGACAUGAAGCUGCAAGCUGAUGCCCUGCUGGAUAUUCCUGUCCCUUCUCUGCUCCACUGUAUGUCUGGGAGAGAUGGCACAACCUGUAGGUUCCAUCAGCUCCAGGUUCUCAGCUUCUGCUCCUCCCUCCGUGCUUCUGAACAUUCCACCUCUGGUCCUAGCCCCUGAGGCCCAGCUCUUCCAAUAGUGCCACUUCCACCUCUGCUGCUGGGUACCCAGGGGUGAAUGCAUACCUACCUCGCUCACUAAUCAUGUGACCUUGGGUAAGGCAUUGCCCUUUUCUGGGCUUCAGUUUUAUCAUAUCUAAAAGGGAAUAAUAAGGCCUACCUUAAAGGAGUGCUAUGAGGAUGUAGGAGAUUCCAUAGCUCAGAUGUCAGGUUAUAUAUCACCUCCUGCAGAAAGUCUCCCCUGUCCUCCCAAGGAUGGCUCAGAUAGCAUUUGUUGCUGGCUCUUCAGUUCUGACCUUCCCAUGUUCACACUAUGUGGUCAUUGGCUCUCUAUGCAUCCAUCCCCCACCAAGCUGUGGGCUCCUCAAGGCCAGGAGUCUCCAGGACCCAGUACAGGACCUUUACAGAUGAAGUGCCUGGGAACGUUUUUUGACAGACACAGUGGGUGAGUAAAGCCUGAGAGAAAGGCAAGGGGUUGUGCAGAAGUCUGGGAGUCUGAGUAAGAAGUGGCCUGACUGACAGGGCAAGUUCUGGUGGUAUGAAUAUUGACAGCUGCUUGGAGCUCUUCCCCCAUUUCCCUGCUUGGUAAAUUCAUCCUUCAAGAUCCCAGGAGAGCAUCUCCUUCCCUGAGAAACCUGGUCACUCUCCCCUCUACCACAUUACACACUCCACUGUAGGUGUUCUUUACACACCUGUCUCCCUUCUCAGAUGUGAGUUCCCUGAAGGCAAGACCCUGUUGGAUCUCACAGCACCAAGCACUGGAUCUGGCCUGAGUUAGUCAAGGUUUUGGAGCAGAAGAAUGGAUGGAGGAAAUAAUUUCUGAAUCGAACUUGGAAUUGAACUGCCUGAACUUUAAUGCCCUUUCCAGCCUUAGGGAUGAUAAUGAAUUACCAAAGUGAGAAAAAUGGAGGCGCAAGCUGUUGUCAUCCUUCCAGAAGCACCCUCCAAGUGUGUGUGGGUGAAAUGUGAGCUGGAGAGAGGAUUGACAAAGAGCAGUGAAAACAUAUUCCUGGACCCCAUUCUUUUUUUUUUUUUUGAGAUGGAAUUUCCCUCUUGUCAUCCAGGCUGAAGUGCAAUAGCGCAAUCUUGGCUCACUGCAACCUCCACCUCCCAGGUUCAAGCGAUUCUCCUGCCUCAGCCUCCUGAGUAGCUGGGAUUACAGACACACACCACCACGCCCAGCUAAUUUUUGUAUUUUUAGUAGAGAUGGGGUUUCACCAUGUUGGCCAGGCUGGUCUCGAACUCCUGACCUCAGGUGAUCCACCUGCCUCGGCCUCCCAAAGUGCUGGGAUUACAGGCAUGAGCCACUGUGCCUGGCCUGAACCCCAUUUUUAUGUCUGGAUUUUUCUCUCUGUUGAAGAAUUGCUGCAGAAACCAUAUUCUAAGUAUAAAAGGCCUUUAGAUAUCUAAGAUGAUCCCCAGAACCUUGAUGUGAAUCCAUUUACUCAUACUUUACAUUCUCACUUUACACUUUGAGCAUGAAGCCCAUGGUGAUCUGGUUGUAAAAGGUUUAAAGGUUAAUUGGCAGCCAAUGUUGGGGGUGAGAAGUUGCUGCUGCAGGCAGGCAGGUAUUCACCAAGGCAGCAGAGAGAGGAGGCAUCUGCCAGGCUGGUAGAAAGGAAAUAGAAAAAGAAAACGGGACGAGAGCGGAGGCUCAGGCCUGUAAUCCCAGCACUAUGGGAGGCCAAGGCGGGCGGAUUGCUUGGUUGCAGUGAGCCAAGAUCGUGCACUACACUCCAGCCUGGGUGACAGGGCGAGACUCCAUCU